UACGUAGGGAGCAAGCGUUGUCCGGAAUCAUUGGGCGUAAAGCGCGCGUAGGUGGCUUCGUAAGUCCGUUGUGAAAGUCAAAGGCUCAACCUUUGAAAGCCGAUGGAUACUGUGAAGCUAGAGUACGGAAGAGGCGAGUGGAAUUCCUGGUGUAGCGGUGGAAUGCGCAGAUAUCAGGAGGAACACCAAUAGCGAAGGCAGCUCGCUGGGACGUUUACUGACACUGAGGCGCGAAAAGCGUGGGGAGCGAACAGG
rnacentral:rRNA from 1 species